rnacentral:lncRNA from 1 species
UGGGUGAAACGUUAUCACGUGACAUGAAAUAAUUCUGUUGUUUUUCGUUCAAUUGCAAGGAAGGACGAAUAACCCUAAACAUUUACACCAGCGGUGAAUAACCCUAUUAUUCAGCGGUGAAUAACCUUUUGAGUUUGUUGAUUUGUACUUGAGUUACCUCCCGUGAAAAUGACGUCACAUACGUAAAUAAACAAAAUGACAGCGUUCACGUUACACUGGAAGCCCAUCGAGAGACGAGGGAAUAAGGCAUUGGACAUCAAUAGAGCUGAGAGUGCCAGCAGCCGAUGACAUCUCUUAUAAACGGUCCUUUUCAGGGCCAUCAAUAUUUUACAAAAAAAUUCUACUUUUGUUGUAAAUUCGAGAAAUUCGAACCCAAAUGUAUUUUCAAAUAUCAGUAACGUUCUGUGUGUUAUGUUAAAAAUAUAGACUAUAGUAAGUGUUCGAAAUGCCCUUCCACUGUUAGUUCGGUAUAAUAAAACAAUUGUGGCCCGUUGAAAAGGUGAAUAUCCAAAAUUGUCAACACUUAAAAGUUAUUUCACUUCGGGCUGCGCCCUCAAUGAAAUAAUCUUCUCAUGUUGACAAUUUUGGAUAUUCACCUUUUCAACGGG